rnacentral:rRNA from 1 species
AGUUUGAUCCUGGCUCAGGAUGAACGCUGGCGGCGUGCCUAACACAUGCAAGUCGAGCGAAGCACUUUGAUUGGAUUCUUCGGAUGAAGAUAAUUGUGACUGAGCGGCGGACGGGUGAGUAACGCGUGGGCAACCUGCCUUACACAGGGGGAUAACAGUUAGAAAUGACUGCUAAUACCGCAUAAGACCGCGGAACCGCAUGGUUCUGAGGUAAAAACUCCGGUGGUGUAAGAUGGGCCCGCGUCUGAUUAGGUAGUUGGUGAGGUAACGGCUCACCAAGCCGACGAUCAGUAGCCGACCUGAGAGGGUGACCGGCCACAUUGGGACUGAGACACGGCCCAGACUCCUACGGGAGGCAGCAGUGGGGAAUAUUGCACAAUGGGGGAAACCCUGAUGCAGCGACGCCGCGUGAGCGAUGAAGUAUUUCGGUAUGUAAAGCUCUAUCAGCAGGGAAGAAAAUGACGGUACCUGACUAAGAAGCCCCGGCUAACUACGUG